GGUUAAGCGACUAAGCGUACACGGUGGAUGCCCUGGCAGUCAGAGGCGAUGAAGGACGUGCUAAUCUGCGAAAAGCGUCGGUAAGGUGAUAUGAACCGUUAUAGCCGGCGAUGUCCGAAUGGGGAAACCCAGUGUGAUUCGUCACACUAUCGUUAACUGAAUACAUAGGUUAACGAGGCGAACCGGGGGAACUGAAACAUCUAAGUACCCCGAGGAAAAGAAAUCAACCGAGAUUCCCCCAGUAGCGGCGAGCGAACGGGGAGCAGCCCAGAGUCUGAAUCAGCUUGUGUGUUAGUGGAACGGUCUGGAAAGUCCGACGGUACAGGGUGAUAGUCCCGUACACCAAAAUGCACAGGCUGUGAACUCGAAGAGUAGGGCGGGACACGUGGUAUCCUGUCUGAAUAUGGGGGGACCAUCCUCCAAGGCUAAAUACUCCUGACUGACCGAUAGUGAACCAGUACCGUGAGGGAAAGGCGAAAAGAACCCCGGCGAGGGGAGUGAAAAAGAACCUGAAACCGUGUACGUACAAGCAGUGGGAGCACCUUCGGGUGUGACUGCGUACCUUUUGUAUAAUGGGUCAGCGACUUAUAUUCUGUAGCAAGGUUAACCGUAUAGGGGAGCCGCAGGGAAACCGAGUCUUAACUGGGCGUUAAGUUGCAGGGUAUAGACCCGAAACCCGGUGAUCUAGCCAUGGGCAGGUUGAAGGUUGGGUAACACUAACUGGAGGACCGAACCGACUAAUGUUGAAAAAUUAGCGGAUGACUUGUGGCUGGGGGUGAAAGGCCAAUCAAACCGGGAGAUAGCUGGUUCUCCCCGAAAGCUAUUUAGGUAGCGCCUCGUGAACUCAUCUUCGGGGGUAGAGCACUGUUUCGGCUAGGGGGUCAUCCCGACUUACCAACCCGAUGCAAACUACGAAUACCGAAGAAUGUUAUCACGGGAGACACACGGCGGGUGCUAACGUCCGUCGUGAAGAGGGAAACAACCCAGACCGCCAGCUAAGGUCCCAAAGUCAUGGUUAAGUGGGAAACGAUGUGGGAAGGCACAGACAGCCAGGAUGUUGGCUUAGAAGCAGCCAUCAUUUAAAGAAAGCGUAAUAGCUCACUGGUCGAGUCGGCCUGCGCGGAAGAUGUAACGGGGCUAAACCAUGCACCGAAGCUGCGGCAGCGACACUAUGUGUUGUUGGGUAGGGGAGCGUUCUGUAAGCCUGCGAAGGUGACCUGUGAGGGUUGCUGGAGGUAUCAGAAGUGCGAAUGCUGACAUAAGUAACGAUAAAGCGGGUGAAAAGCCCGCUCGCCGGAAGACCAAGGGUUCCUGUCCAACGUUAAUCGGGGCAGGGUGAGUCGACCCCUAAGGCGAGGCCGAAAGGCGUAGUCGAUGGGAAACAGGUUAAUAUUCCUGUACUUGGUGUUACUGCGAAGGGGGGACGGAGAAGGCUAUGUUAGCCGGGCGACGGUUGUCCCGGUUUAAGCAUGUAGGCUGGUUAUCCAGGCAAAUCCGGAUAAUCAAGGCUGAGGUGUGAUGACGAGGCACUACGGUGCUGAAGUAACAAAUGCCCUGCUUCCAGGAAAAGCCUCUAAGCAUCAGGUAACAUCAAAUCGUACCCCAAACCGACACAGGUGGUCAGGUAGAGAAUACCAAGGCGCUUGAGAGAACUCGGGUGAAGGAACUAGGCAAAAUGGUGCCGUAACUUCGGGAGAAGGCACGCUGGUGUGUAGGUGAAGUCCCUGCGGAUGGAGCUGAGACCAGUCGAAGAUACCAGCUGGCUGCAACUGUUUAUUAAAAACACAGCACUGUGCAAACACGAAAGUGGACGUAUACGGUGUGACGCCUGCCCGGUGCCGGAAGGUUAAUUGAUGGGGUUAUCCGUAAGGAGAAGCUCUUGAUCGAAGCCCCGGUAAACGGCGGCCGUAACUAUAACGGUCCUAAGGUAGCGAAAUUCCUUGUCGGGUAAGUUCCGACCUGCACGAAUGGCGUAAUGAUGGCCAGGCUGUCUCCACCCGAGACUCAGUGAAAUUGAACUCGCUGUGAAGAUGCAGUGUACCCGCGGCAAGACGGAAAGACCCCGUGAACCUUUACUAUAGCUUGACACUGAACAUUGAGCCUUGAUGUGUAGGAUAGGUGGGAGGCUUUGAAGCGUGGACGCCAGUCUGCGUGGAGCCAACCUUGAAAUACCACCCUUUAAUGUUUGAUGUUCUAACGUUGGCCCCUUAUCGGGGUUGCGGACAGUGUCUGGUGGGUAGUUUGACUGGGGCGGUCUCCUCCCAAAGCGUAACGGAGGAGCACGAAGGUUAGCUAAUCCUGGUCGGACAUCAGGAGGUUAGUGCAAUGGCAUAAGCUAGCUUGACUGCGAGCGUGACGGCGCGAGCAGGUGCGAAAGCAGGUCAUAGUGAUCCGGUGGUUCUGAAUGGAAGGGCCAUCGCUCAACGGAUAAAAGGUACUCCGGGGAUAACAGGCUGAUACCGCCCAAGAGUUCAUAUCGACGGCGGUGUUUGGCACCUCGAUGUCGGCUCAUCACAUCCUGGGGCUGAAGUAGGUCCCAAGGGUAUGGCUGUUCGCCAUUUAAAGUGGUACGCGAGCUGGGUUUAGAACGUCGUGAGACAGUUCGGUCCCUAUCUGCCGUGGGCGCUGGAGAAUUGAGGGGGGCUGCUCCUAGUACGAGAGGACCGGAGUGGACGCAUCACUGGUGUUCGGGUUGUCAUGCCAAUGGCACUGCCCGGUAGCUAAAUGCGGAAGAGAUAAGUGCUGAAAGCAUCUAAGCACGAAACUUGCCCCGAGAUGAGUUCUCCCUGAGACUUUAAGUCUCCUGAAGGAACGUUAAAGACGAUGACGUUGAUAGGCCGGGUGUGUAAGCGCAGCGAUGCGUUGAGCUAACCGGUACUAAUGAACCGUGAGGCUUAACCUU
rnacentral:rRNA from 1 species